GCCUUGGUGGUAGCAUAGGUAUGGAAAACGGCAUUGCACUGAUGCCAUUGGCAGUCUGUGGAAGUUAUGUAGGAUGUGCAUGGACUCUUAGAUAAUAGUUUCUUUUGUUUUACUUCCUUUAUGAAUAUCAACUGUAAAUGUGUGCCCCUUACAUAGUAUUCUUAUUUUUGGUAGUAUUUGUCUAGGUCAAUUUAAAUUAUUGAGAAUACCCCACCAGAGCAAAUGCAUCCUAGAUACAGUCCUGAAACACACCUUCCAUGCAAUGAAUGACUCAGUAAAUAUUGCUGCUUGUUCUUAUGUUUUGCGCCCCCUCACCCACUUUUGGGUAUUUUGUUCUAAACAACUAUUUUUAAAAAUUAAAACUGUAAUAUCAAAAAAAAAAGAAAGAAAGAAACC
rnacentral:lncRNA from 1 species